CCGUUCUCGGUUCACGCCGUUCUCUGUCACGCGCACUUCUCUCUCUCGAGCACCAUUGCAAAGCCCAGAUUUAUUCGAAGUUGAAGAUCGAAGAGCCAAGCUGAUUGCCACUGACUUAGAGGACCAGUCUGAUUCUAAAUAUCCAGGUAUGGACCGUAAAUGGAUGUUUGCUAAUCGCUUAUCCGAUGAAUAUGCUGCUGGGGUGAAAGAGUUUGUUAAAUUUGCGGUUCAAAAUGCAAAGAACCCAAAUAGUUUGCUAUGCCCUUGUUUAGUUUGUUGGCAUGGUAUUCGAGUUAAUCCAUCUGAAUUAGAAGAUCAUCUAA